GCUUCCUGCCCAUGUUGUCAUGACGCCCAGAUGGCCUUGGAGAGCCUGGAGCAGUGAGAAGGGGCCUCCUCAGUUGCCCCUGCCCCUCCAUGCUGGUGCCCAAGAUCUUCCUAGCCUGCCCAUCAGGGGAGCCUCUCCCACUUAGACCUUGAAACUGCCCUGCAUGGAAGAUCAGGCUGAAGGUGCUGGCAGGAGUGAAGUUCAGUUCUCACAUCUACCACCAGAUGGAGCCGAGACCCUACAGACCAAAUUAGGUUUCUGGAACCCAAUGCCCAGGGCUGGAAGGGCAGUUCUCUGACAGGGGGACCUAGGGGAGAAGGGGAAGUUCAUUGAGGCUGAAGAUUCUGGCAAGUCAGGGCCAAUGCUAGGUCCUCUCCACUUGGAUCUGUGGUUUCUGUGAGUGGCUACAAGAGGGUCUGUCCUGGUUGUCACAACUUCUCUUGCUAGUUGAAGGAAUCCUUCUCCCCAGUAUUAAAACUGAAACAAAAUA